ensembl:miRNA bta-mir-31 bta-mir-31
UCCUGUAACUUGGAACUGGAGAGGAGGCAAGAUGCUGGCAUAGCUGUUGAACUGCGAACCUGCUAUGCCAACAUAUUGCCAUCUCUCUUGUCCG